UACGUAGGGCGCAAGCGUUGUCCGGAAUUAUUGGGCGUAAAGAGCUCGUAGGCGGCUUGUCGCGUCGAUUGUGAAAGCCCGGGGCUUAACUCCGGGUCUGCAGUCGAUACGGGCAGGCUAGAGUGUGGUAGGGGAGAUCGGAAUUCCUGGUGUAGCGGUGAAAUGCGCAGAUAUCAGGAAGAACACCUAUGGCGAAGGCAGCUCUCUGGGACGGUACUGACGCUGAGACGCGAAAGCGUGGGGAGCGAACAGG
rnacentral:rRNA from 1 species